GUGAGUCAUCGAAUCUUUGAACGCAUAUUGCGCUCUUUGGUAUUCCGAAGAGCAUGCUUGUUUGAGUAUCAGUAAACACCUCAAAGCUUUUGGAUUUUUUUUUGAAAGCUUUGGACUUGAGCAAUCCCAACGCCAAUCUUUUUCAGAUCGGCGGCGGGUUGCUUGAAAUGCAGGUGCAGCUGGACUUUCUCCUGAGCUAAAAGCAUAUUCAUUUAGUCCCGUCAAACGGAUUAUUACUUUUGCUGCAGCUAACAUAAAGGGAGUUUGACCGUAUUGGCUGACUGAUGCAGGAUUUUACAAGGGUCGGCAACGAUUCUUGUUAAACUCGAUCUCAAAUCAAGUAAGACUACCCGCUGAACUUAAGCAUAUCAAUAAGCGGAGGA
rnacentral:misc_RNA from 1 species